GGAUUAGAUACCCUGGUAGUCCACGCCGUAAACGAUGUCUACUAGCAGCUCGCCUCGUUAGAGGGGUUUUGCGCAGCUAACGCGUUAAGUAGACCGCCUGGGGAGUACGGCCGCAAGGUUAAAACUCAAAUGAAUUGACGGGGGCCCGCACAAGCGGUGGAGCAUGUGGUUUAAUUCGAUGCAACGCGAAGAACCUUACCAUCCCUUGACAUCCAGAGAACUCGCUAGAGAUAGCUUGGUGCCUUCGGGAACUCUGAGACAGGUGCUGCAUGGCUGUCGUCAGCUCGUGUUG
rnacentral:rRNA from 1 species